ensembl:snoRNA small nucleolar RNA SNORA49
GUUCCCCUCCCUUACUCCAGGACGUGAGCCCAGUGCCGUGUCCUGGCAUUGACAGGGGAUACAGCAAUGGCUUUCUCCUCCUCUCCCUUCAGCUCUACAGCUGACAGCGGGGCUUAAGGGGUGGCCAACAGC